rnacentral:tRNA from 1 species
GGGGCGGCUCUCCUAUUGGCGAAGGUCGGAGACUGUAAAUCUCUCGGUUAAAUCCCUGUGCUGGUUCGACUCCAGCCUGCCCCACCA